rnacentral:ncRNA from 1 species
UUUUAUAAUUAAAACCAUUUGUAAAUUAGGUGAAAUAAUUAAAAUUAUAAAACUUUUAUUAAAAAACACAUGAUAGUAAAAUUUUAAAAUUUACUCAAUUGUUUUAUGAUAUAAGAGGGAAACAUAUGUGCCAGCCCCAGCGGUAAAACAUAUCUCUAAAUUUAAUUUUUAYUAGGCUCGAAUUGAAAAUUGGCUAAAUUAAGUUAAAUAUAAUCGGUUUAAUUUUAUAUUUAUAGGCUAAGCUAAAUAAACAAUUUGUAAGAAAUAAACAAACUGGGAUUAGAUACCCCAUUAUGAAUCGAAAUUUUAAUGCCUUUGACAAUCAAACAAAAAUUUAUGGCGGCUUUUAUUCACAUUAGAGGCUUAUGGAGCUAAAAGACAUUACCCUAAAAUCUUUCUUUAAUUAGCAUAGGCAUUUUUUAUAUCGCCGUUUGAAGAAAAUUUUUUUAAUAAUUUUCUUUAUAUAAACUUAAAUUUUUAAAACAGGUAAAGAUGAAAAUUAUAUUAAAGCAAUUUUGUAAGCCAUUAAAUUAAAUGAAUAUUAUUGAUAAACUGAAAUAGAAUUUAAAAGUAAAAUUUUUUUAUUAUAAAAGUCUGAAAUGUGUAAAUAAAAGUGUACAAACCGCCCGUCACUUCUAAUACCUAUAGAAUAAGUCGUAACAAGGUUAAUUUACUGGAAGGUGGAAUAA